AAACUGGGUUUCCUUAGUAACGGCGAGUGAAGCGGUAAAAGCUCAAAUUUGAAAUCUGGUACUUUCAGUGCCCGAGUUGUAAUUUGUAGAAUUUGUCUUUGAUUAGGUCCUUGUCUAUGUUCCUUGGAACAGGACGUCAUAGAGGGUGAGAAUCCCGUUUGGCGAGGAUACCUUUUCUCUGUAAGACUUUUUCGAAGAGUCGAGUUGUUUGGGAAUGCAGCUCAAAGUGGGUGGUAAAUUCCAUCUAAAGCUAAAUAUUGGCGAGAGACCGAUAGCGAACAAGUACAGUGAUGGAAAGAUGAAAAGAACUUUGAAAAGAGAGUGAAAAAGUACGUGAAAUUGUUGAAAGGGAAGGGCAUUUGAUCAGACAUGGUGUUUUUUGCAUGCACUCGCCUCUCGUGGGCUUGGGCCUCUCAAAAAUUUCACUGGGCCAACAUCAAUUCUGGCAGCAGGAUAAAUCAUUAAGAAUGUAGCUACUUCGGUAGUGUUAUAGCUUUUUGGAAUACUGUUAGCCGGGAUUGAGGACUGCGCUUCGGCAAGGAUGUUGGCAUAAUGGUUAAAUGCCGCCCGUCUUGAAACACGGGACCA
rnacentral:rRNA from 1 species